CCUACGGGAGGCAGCAGUGAGGAAUAUUGGUCAAUGGACGAGAGUCUGAACCAGCCAAGUAGCGUGAAGGAUGACUGCCCUAUGGGUUGUAAACUUCUUUUAUAUGGGAAUAAAAUGUUCCACGUGUGGGAUUUUGUAUGUACCAUAUGAAUAAGGAUCGGCUAACUCCGUUCCAGCAGCCGCGGUAAUACGGGGGAUCCGAGCGUUAUCCGGAUUUUUUGGGUUUAAAGGGAGAGUAGGUGGAUUGUUAAGGCCGUUGUGAAAGUGUGCGGCUUAAACGUAAAAUUGCAGUUGAAACUGGCAGUCUUGAGUACAGUAGAGGUGGGCGGAAUGCGUGGUGUAGCGGUGAAAUGCAUAGAUAUCACGAAGAACUCCGAUUGCGAAGGCAGUUCACUGGACUGCAACUGACACUGAGGCUCGAAAGUGUGGGGAUCAAACAGGAUUAGAUACCCCAGUAGUC
rnacentral:rRNA from 1 species